GGGCGGUUAGCUCAGUUGGCUAGAGCGUCACGUUGACAUCGUGGAGGCCAGAGGUUCAAAUCCUCUACCGCCCA
rnacentral:tRNA from 2 species